rnacentral:tRNA from 1 species
GGGGGAAUAGCUCAAGUGGUAGAGCGCAUGCUUAGCAUGCACGAAGUCCUGGGUUCAAUCCCUGGUACCUCCA